GAUGAACGCUGGCGGCGUGCCUAAUACAUGCAAGUCGAGCGAACAGACGAGGAGCUUGCUCCUCUGACGUUAGCGGCGGACGGGUGAGUAACACGUGGAUAACCUACCUAUAAGACUGGGAUAACUUCGGGAAACCGGAGCUAAUACCGGAUAAUAUAUUGAACCGCAUGGUUCAAUAGUGAAAGACGGUUUUGCUGUCACUUAUAGAUGGAUCCGCGCCGCAUUAGCUAGUUGGUAAGGUAACGGCUUACCAAGGCAACGAUGCGUAGCCGACCUGAGAGGGUGAUCGGCCACACUGGAGCUGAGACACGGUCCAGACUCCUACGGGAGGCAGCAGUAGGGAAUCUUCCGCACUGGGCGAAAGCUUGACGGAGCAACGCCGCGUGAGUGAUGAAGGUCUUCGGAUCGUAAAACUCUGUUAUUAGGGAAGAACAAAUGUGUAAGUAACUAUGCACGUCUUGACGGUACCUAAUCAGAAAGCCACGGCUAACUACGU
rnacentral:rRNA from 1 species